GGGGCUGUGGGAUAGUCUGGUCUAGCCUUCGAGGUUUGGGACCUUGCGACCCCGGUUCAAAUCCGGGCAGCCCCA
rnacentral:tRNA from 4 species